AUCACUCUCUCUCAUUCCCGAUUCCCUUUCUCCUCUUAGUUCUCUCUUAACCUUGAACCUAACGUCCUCUCCUCUCUCUCUCUCUCUCUCCAUCUCACAGCCAGCAGCCACGGAGCACGACAGUUCUAGCGACGUCGUGGGUUGCCUCUAGCCACCAAAUGCAACCUCCCUCAUCCCAUAGAGAUCUGGGUUUCAAAUUUCAGAACUCUUAAUUUUUUUCUCAGCAGCCAAACACGGCGUCAAGAUGGGGAUUAUUAGCAUGAUUUUAUUGUACGUGCGUGUUUUCAGUUUGAUGUCCAUGCUUUUCUGAUGUGCAUGUUUUCAUCUUCAGAGAUAUGAUUGAGGCCGAGGCUCUGACUGGUUUUGACAACCGCAGCAAAUGAAAGGAGUUUUGUUCUGCAUUUGCUGCUUUUAUGGGUAAGCAAACCAGGAGCUACCCGGUGAGGGAGAGAAAUGAAGUCAUUGUUCGGAAUCUGAAUUUCCAAGUGAGAAGGAAAGCAAGGAGCAAAAAUGGCAAAGAAUGUGGGAAUUCUUGCCGUGGCGAUCUACUUCCCUCCCACCUGUAUUCAACAGGGAGUUUAACUUAUAUUCAGAACAAGAGAAUUAGAGGAGCAGCAAGCUAAAAGAGGUGGUCAGUGAUGUUGUCAAUCAAUAUUUAUUAGUGGAGGAGACUGUUAGUUUGUUUUUACUUUGUGAAAUUUCACUAAUACGAGUCUAAUUAUUUAUGCUUCAAUUUCCGUUAUUGCAACUAUGUGACUAGCCGGAUCUGGAAUGAGACUUGGUUGGCAAGCUUCUUCCACAAACCAUGUAAUUAUGAGUUGUUUGUGAAGCAAUCUCUAAAUAUGGAAAUGGCGAUUGUCAUGGCAAGGUUUAGGUUACUGAAUUUUUAUCUGUUGUAUGACAUGCUUAUUAUAUUUUCUUAAUGUAAUAAGAGGCUAUUCUUCAAGUGUUAUUCAUUUACUUUU